GGAGAUUAGACUGGUAUAGUAGGAGAGGUAUGGGUGGGGAGAUUAGACUGGUAUAGUAGGAGAGGUAUGGGUGGGGAGAUUAGACUGGUAUAGUAGGAGAGGUAUGGGUGGGGAGAUUAGACUGGUAUAGUAGGAGAGGUAUGGGUGGGGAGAUUAGACUGGUAUAGUAGGAGAGGUAUGGGUGGUGAGAUUAGACUGGUAUGGUAGGAGAGGUAUGGGUGGGGAGAUUAGACUGGUAUGGUAGGAGAGGUAUGGGUGGGGAGAUUAGACUGGUAUGGUAGUAGAGGUAUGGGUGGGGAGAUUAGACUGAUAUAGUAGGAGAGGUAUGGGUGGAACUGAAAAGCUAAAAUCUUCUGAAGUCUACCUGAUUUCCACGCUCCACACCCAGGAUGGAGAAACUCUCCAGGAACACGUCAGUUUGACGCUGAUGGAUUAAAGCUGACCAAUAAGAAAUGAACCAGCCUUUUUUGUUGAGUUCUCCCAACUCCGUCCUGCCUCAAAUGACUCCCUUUUCUUCUUUGUGAGAACAUUAGUCUCUCUUCUCUGUUUCUCUCCGUCUCUGUAGUAUGUGUUGACACCUCCACAAACACACACGCAAGGUUCCCCUUCCCUCCAUUCUAGGUGGUCAGAUUGUCUGUGAUGUGUCUUAUGUAACCUUUGUCCUCCCUCUCUCCUUCCCUCUCUCCUUCCCUCUCUCCUUCCCUCCCU